UACGAGAGGCCCAAACGUUAUUCGGAAUUACUGGGCUUAAAGAGUUCGUAGGCGGCAUGACAAGUAGGGUGUGAAAGCCCUCGGCUCAACCGAGGAAUUGCGCUCUAAACUGGCGUGCUCGAGGAACCUAGAGGUGAGCAGAACAGAUGGUGGAGCGGUGAAAUGCGUUGAUAUCUGGAGGAACACCGGUGGCGAAGGCGGCAUCCUGGACCAAUACUGACGCUGAGGAGCGAAAGCCAGGGGAGCAAACGGG
rnacentral:rRNA from 1 species